rnacentral:rRNA from 1 species
UGGGGAAUAUUGGACAAUGGGGGGAACCCUGAUCCAGCCAUGCCGCGUGUGUGAAGAAGGCCUUUUGGUUGUAAAGCACUUUAAGCAGUGAAGAAGAGGUUUUGGCUAAUACCCAAAGCUGAUGACAUUAGCUGCAGAAUAAGCACCGGCUAACUCUGUGCCAGCAGCCGCGGUAAUACAGAGGGUGCGAGCGUUAAUCGGAAUUACUGGGCGUAAAGCGAGCGUAGGUGGCUUGAUAAGUCAGAUGUGAAAGCCCCGGGCUUAACCUGGGAACGGCAUCUGAAACUGUCAGGCUAGAGUAGGUGAGAGGAAGGUAGAAUUCCAGGUGUAGCGGUGAAAUGCGUAGAGAUCUGGAGGAAUACCGAUGGCGAAGGCAGCCUUCUGGCAUCAUACUGACACU